rnacentral:rRNA from 1 species
UAAACGCUGGCGGCGUGCUUAACACAUGCAAGUCGAACGGGUGGUCUCCCGAGGAUUGACGGUGCUUGCACCUGAUUGACUCAUUGAAUCACUUAGUGGCGGACGGGUGAGUAACGCGUGGGAAACCUGCCUCACACUGGGGGAUAGCAGUUGGAAACGACUGAUAAUACCGCAUAAGCGCACAGCACCGCAUGGUGCAGUGUGAAAAACUCCGGUGGUGUGAGAUGGUCCCGCGUCUGAUUAGCUAGUUGGUGAGGUAACGGCCCACCAAGGCGACGAUCAGUAGCCGGCCUGAGAGGGUGUACGGCCACAUUGGGACUGAGACACGGCCCAAACUCCUACGGGAGGCAGCAGUGGGGAAUAUUGGACAAUGGGGGCAACCCUGAUCCAGCCGACGCCGCGUGAACGAAGAAGUAUCUCGGUAUGUAAAGUUCUAUCAGCAGGGAAGAUAAUGACGGUACCUGACUAAGAAGCACCGGCUAAAUACGUGCCAGCCGCUGC